rnacentral:rRNA from 1 species
AGCGGAGCGAGGGUGCUUGCACCUUAGCUUAGCGGCGGACGGGUGAGUAAUGCUUAGGAAUCUGCCUAUUAGUGGGGGACAACAUUCCGAAAGGAAUGCUAAUACCGCAUACGUCCUACGGGGGAAAGCAGGGGAUCUUCGGACCUUGCGCUAAUAGAUGAGCCUAAGUCGGAUUAGCUAGUUGGUGGGGUAAAGGCCUACCAAGGCGACGAUCUGUAGCGGGUCUGAGAGGAUGAUCCGCCACACUGGGACUGAGACACGGCCCAGACUCCUACGGGAGGCAGCAGUGGGGAAUAUUGGACAAUGGGCGGAAGCCUGAUCCAGCCAUGCCGCGUGUGUGAAGAAGGCCUUUUGGUUGUAAAGCACUUUAAGCGAGGAGGAGGCUACUUAGAUUAAUACUCUAGGAUAGUGGACGUUACUCGCAGAAUAAGCACCGGCUAACUCUGUGCCAGCAGCCGCGGUAAUACAGAGGGUGCGAGCGUUAAUCGGAUUUACUGGGCGUAAAGCGUGCGUAGGCGGCUGAUUAAGUCGGAUGUGAAAUCCCUGAGCUUAACUUAGGAAUUGCAUUCGAUACUGGUCAGCUAGAGUAUGGGAGAGGAUGGUAGAAUUCCAGGUGUAGCGGUGAAAUGCGUAGAGAUCUGGAGGAAUACCGAUGGCGAAGGCAGCCAUCUGGCCUAAUACUGACGCUGAGGUACGAAAGCAUGGGGAGCAAACAGGAUUAGAUACCCUGGUAGUCCAUGCCGUAAACGAUGUCUACUA